GAAGAAGAAGAAGAAGAAGAAGAAGAAGAAGAAGAAGAAGAAACAUUGAACUGUGAUAUACCAUGUACACUUGAGGCUUAUAUUCUCAGGAGAGUAACAGGCUAGAAGAAUUAAACUUCUCAAUAUGUCUGAUACGGUGAGAAUUCUUCCCAGUUCCUGGUGGCAAUCUGAAGGUUCAUAGAGCCUGAUGGAAAAACCAAGAACAAGCUUACUGUGUGAACAAAAGUGAUCAGCUUCUACCUCUCCAGCCACUAUGGUCACCCACUCUGGAGCUGUAAACUGACAUGUUCUUUCUUCUGUAAGUUGCUUUUGGUCAUGGCAUUUUAUACAGAAAUGGAUGGGUAAUGAAUUUAGUGCGAUAUUAUAGAUAUCAGCAAAUGUGUGAAUUCCAUGAGUAUAUGAACACCCAGAAAUUCCAGUAGUACUUCGCUUGCACCAUCAUGAAAUGAAGUUUAAUGGCUAUAAGCAAAACUCAAGCACUAUUGUUUUAGUGUUAAAAUUUCUAGUUAUUAUUUACUAUCUUUAU